rnacentral:lncRNA from 1 species
GCCUCCUCCUGGGUCUCCCUUUGGCUGUGCGGGAGGAAGGAGGUGGUGAGGCGUCCAGCCUGGCUGGGGUCAGGGCUGGGUGUUGGGGAUCAGGUCAGGAGUUUCCAGCCCGAAGGGAAGGGGUGUCACUGCUUUGAGAAGAAAACAAGACGCAAACCGUUUGGACCAUCGUGUCCCUGACGCCGGACAUCCCUUCCCCCAACUAUCCCAGACGCCCCAGCCCCGGGGGACGCGGUGCAGAGAAAGACCGCAGCACCCGCCAGCCAGCCAGCAGCGUCCUCCAGCCGCGAAUCCCCGCACCCCAGCCUUCCAACGGGGAUGGAUGGCACUCACUCCCACACCCCAACCCCAGCCUGGGGAAGGGAAAAGAAGGAAGGUCUUCCCCCACCCCAAGCUGUCUCCGGCCUGCGGUCAGGGGGAGGGGCUCUAGCUGUGGAAAGUUGGCAGAGGCGGCCGGCAGCAGCCGGGAGAGUGGAAAAAAUGAUAUCAAACCCGGAAAAAUGCAGGCCGGAUGGAGGGCCGGAGUGGGCCCUGGGAGAGGAGACAAAGUUUUGCUGUGUUGCCCAUGAUGGUCUCAAACUCCUGAGCUCAAGAGAUGCUCCCACCUCAACAUCCCAAGGUGCUGAGAUUUCAGGCAUGAGCCACUGGGUCUCACCCUGCUAUCAUAUCUUAAGGCCUUGCAGAAACCAGGAUUUGUUAAAGGAAUGAAAGCUCCUUGAGGGAAGGGCCCUCAGUGCUGCUCUGAUCCCAGCACCUACAACAGUGCCUGGCUCAUAAUAGGUGCUCAGUAAAUAUUUGUUGAAUGAAUUAAUUCAUUAUCCAUUAAUAGAUAUCCAUUAAUUCAUUAUCCAUUACCUGUAAAGUGGCCCUUCCAAUCCUGUCCUCUCUGAUUCUAGGUGUCUGUGAAUAAGGAAUGGAAAGCAUGUGAGAAAACCACACUCUUCCUCAGCCUAUUAUAGUUUAAAAAGUACUUUCUCAUCCAUAAAAACAAAACCAAAAAAAAAAAUAGCUAACUUUGUUUUAACUGUUUCUCUGUGUUAAUGUUGGGCCCCAUGCUACAUGCUGGGUACACAUUUUCUCAUGUCCUCACCACCACAACCCUCUACUUAAUAGGUACUGUUUAAUAGAUGAGGACACAGAGGCUAAGAAAACCCAAGAAUCUCUCCAAGGCUACACAGCAAGAAAGGGCCAGAUCAAUGGUGGAGAGGCAGGCAGGACCUGCCAUCUUAGUUGUACAAUUAGGGAAACUGAGACUCAGAGAGAGGAGACGAGUUGUCCAACCCCAAAGUUAUGUAAUAAACAGCAAGCAGUUAGAUCACUCUUACUAUGUACCAGGUGCUUCAGGUGCUGUCCUAAGUGUUUUUCAUACAUUAAUCAUUAAAUCCUGAAAAACCGAUCCUAUUAUCACCACCCCAGUUUUCAGAUGGAGAAACUUGUAGCACAGAGAAGUGCAGUACCCCACCAAGAUUGCACAGUUAGCAAGUAGCAGAACCAGAAUUCAAACCAGGGAGAUCUAGCUCACAGCAUUAAGAGGUGGGGUGUGUUACACCAUUUGUUUGUACAGCAAGCCUGGAACAGGCUGGUAUAAAAAGGAAGGUGUCUUUGUCUCCAGCCCUGCUGCCUGAGGUAGGGGCAAGAUAGAGAACAAAAGCGCAUUGACAGCAUCCUCAGCUGCCAGCUGGGACUUUCCACCUUGAAGGGAGGAUACUGUUAUGGAAAAAAUGAUAAAGCUCUGGGAAGAUGGAUGUCUCCCCAGGGGCCCCCAAGCCUCCUCAGAGUCCCUCCUCUUGCUGUGGGGGAGGGCCACAAACUGUGCUGGCCUGGUCCAGAUGAGACAAAGGCCACCUGGAUCCCAAGACACCCAGCCAGGCUGCUCGAAUACUGAGGAUCACUGGCCUUGGUGGAAAGUUCCAAUUUCUCACCCCAGGCAUGAAGCUUCUGCUCAGGGACCCCCGAGAAAUCAGGUUCAGGCUGGAGCUCCCUGUCCUUGGAGAUGGGAAAUACACAUCUCAUAGGGCCCGCUCUCUCCUU